rnacentral:lncRNA from 1 species
GCGCGGUGGCUCAAGCCUGUAAUCCCAGCACUUUGGGAGGCUGAGGCGGGAGAAUCUCUUGAAACCGGGAAGCGGAGGUUGCAGUGAGCUGAUAUCACACCACUGCACUCCAGCCUGGGAGGUUGCAGUGAGCUGAGAUCGUGCCCCUGCACUCCAGCCUGGGCGACAGAGUGAGACUUCGUCUCAAAAAAAAAAAUUUUAAAAAAGAGCAGCUUCUACUGCAGCCUCCUCUUACCCUAUUGCCUUCUCUUGCUCUGGUCUCCACUCAAAGCAUGCAGCCUUCUGGGUGAUUUUGCAGAUGGGUCAAAACAGCAUACUCAAUGUUGCCUCCCAAAUAAAAAAACCUACCGACCAUUGUACUUCUUUCUUUGUGGUAGGUACUGCAACUUGCAGCAACUUGUCUUUCACCUUAGAAAAGAUAUCUUUCUUGGCCGGGCGCAGUGGCUCACGCCUGUAAUCCCAGCACUUUGGGAGGCCGAGGCGGCGGAUCACCUGAGGUCGGGAGUUCGAGACCAGCCUGACCAACAUGGAGAAACCCCAGUCUCUACUAAAAAUACAAAAUUAGCAAGGCGUGGUGGCGCAUGCCUGGAAUCCCAGCUACUCAGCCGGCUGAGGCAGGAGAAUCGCUUGAACCUGGGAGGUGGAGGUUGCGGUGAGCCGAGAUGGUGCCAUUGCAUUCCAGCCUGGGCAACAAGAGUGAAAUUCCGUCUCAAAAAAAAAAGAAGAAGAAAAGAAAAAAUAUCUUUCUUUCUUGCUGGGUGUGGUGGCUCAUGCCCGAAAUCCCAGCACUUUGGGAUGCCCAGGCAGGCGGAUUGCCUGAGCUCAGGAGUUCGAGACCAGCCUGGGCAACAAAGUGAAACCCCUUCUCUACUAAAAUACAAAAAAUUAGCUGGGUGUGCUGCUGUGCGCCUGUAGUCCCAGCUACUUGGGAGGCUGAGGCAGAAUUGCUUGAACCCCAGAGAUGGAGGUUGCAGUAAGCCGAGAUCAUGCCACUGCACUCUAGCCUGGGUGACAGAGCGACACUCCAUCUCCAAAAAAAAAAAAAAAAAAAAAGUAGAAAAGAUAUCUUUAUUUCCCUCCCUCCCUCCUUUCCCUCUUUCCUUCCUUUUUGAGACAGGGUCUCACUUUGUCACCCAGACUGAAGCGCAGUGAUAAAAUCACAGCUCAGCAGCUUCAACAUCCUGGGCUCAAGUGAUCCUCCAAUCUCAACCUCCUGAAUAGCUGGGACAACAGUUGUGGACCACCAUGCCCGGCUAAUUUUAUAGAGAUGAGGUCCUACUCUAUUGUCCAGGCUGGUCUCUAACUCCUGGGCUCAAACAAUCCUCCCGCCUGAGCCUCUGAAGGGCUGAGAUUAUAGGCAUGAGCCACUGUGCCUGGCCUGAAGAUAAUUUUAGAUCCUUAUCAGACUGGAGAUGGUACCAGAGGAAUCUACAUUAACGAGUUUUCUUUUUUUUUUGUUGAGACAGAGUCUCACUCCGUUGCCCAGGCUGGAGUGCAGUGGUGUAAUCUCGGCUCACUGCAACCUUCGCCUCCCGGGUUCAAGCGAUUCUCCUCCUUCAGCCUCGUGAGUAGCUGGGAUUACAGGCGCCACCACCGUGCUCAGCUUUUUUUGUUUUGCUUUGUUUUUUUUGUAUUUUUAGUAGGGACGGGUUUCACCAUGUUGGCCAGGCUGGUCUUGAACUCCUGACCACAGAUGAUUUGCCUGCCUCGGCCUCCCAAAGUGCUGGGAUUACAGGCGUGAGCCGCCAUGCCGGGCCAACAAGUUUUCAAACUAGGCUUCCUCUGCUUUUAUUUGGCUUCUCACAAGUUACUACCCCUUUUCCUUUGUUCUAUAAUUUCUCUAAAAAUUUUAUGCUUUUUGUUGAAGACGCUGUAUAAGCUGGAAUUCGAAGCCACCUCUUUGAGAACUACUCAUUCCCUGGGUGUCUCCCAUGUGUAUAAGAAAUAUACAUGUUAAUAAGCUUCUGUUUGUUUUUCUCUUAUUAUCUUUUGUUACAGGGGUACAUUCCAACUAGGAACUUAUGAGGAUUAAAGAAAAAAUAUUUUUCAGGCCAGGCACCAUGGCUCAUGCCUGUAAUCCCAGCACUUUGGGAGGCCGAGGCAGGUGGAUUACCUGGGGUCAGGAGUUCAAGACCAGCCUGGAUAACAUGGCGAAAUCCCGUCUCUACUAAAAAUACAAAAAUUAGCUGGGUGUGGU